rnacentral:misc_RNA from 1 species
GAAAUUCCGAUCGAAUAGCUAGUGAAAGAACUUCAAAAAAGAAAACACAUGAGGAAGCUUGGAUCGAUUGUCACCCAUCGAUGAUUUAUUUGCAUUGAUAUAUAGAUCCAAGUCAAGAUACAAGAGGCGGCAUGGGAACGAUCAGAGACAAAUCCGUCGCCCCAUGCAUAUGAGCGUACACGACGAGUAAGAGAUCAGCACAAAAUUAAAGCAAGAUCAUCUCUAGCUACCUGCUGAGGGAACGAACAGCUAGCAGGGGACCAACAAGAAGUGAUGAGUGGGGGAACUCCAUGGGAGGCCUCUCCGGCCUCUCCUCCCACAGGCUACAGCUUGAGGAAGAAGAAGAACAGUCCUCGAUGCAUCUUCGAGUGAUGCUCUUCGAUCCAAAGGUACUUAUACUGCAAAUACCCCUCUCUCCGUCGCCCCCAAGCCGUUUUUUCUAUAGCUCAGAGCUGCUGGAAUUUGGACCUGACUUUGAAACAUGCCGUGUGGCCGUGUGGGGUUUGAAAGAGAUGACCUGCAUUGCAGUUGCAGGCAGCAGCGACAGGCCACAGCCCACAGGUCAGAUCAAGACGGAAGGGGGGUCGUGUACAUGCAUUGAACCUGGACGCCCCCCCGCCCUCUUCAGCUUUUGCAUUUGGGCGGCGUAUGGUUUUUGGCCUUUUGGGAUUUGGGAAUACGAGUCAUUGAUUCUCUCUGUGUCGUCCCGUCUCAACCUUUUUUUUUUUUUUUUGCUGCCUUUAUGCUGCAUGCCCAUUCAGCAGCCACGCACAAAGCCACA